CCUACGGGAGGCAGCAGUGAGGAAUAUUGGUCAAUGGCCGCAGGGCUGAACCAGCCAAGUCGCGUGAGGGAUGACGGUCCUAUGGAUUGUAAACCUCUUUUGUCAGGGAGCAAAGGGCGCCACGUGUGGCGCUUUGCGAGUACCUGAAGAAAAAGCAUCGGAUAACUCCGUGCCAGCAGCCGCGGUAAUACGGAGUAUGCGAGCGUUAUCCGGAUUUAUUGGGUUUAAAGGGUGCGCAGGCGGAAUGUCAAGUCAGCGGUAAAAUUUCGGGGCUCAACCCCGUCGUGCCGUUGAAACUGGCGUUCUUGAGUGAGCGAGAAGUAUGCGGAAUGCGUGGUGUAGCGGUGAAAUGCAUAGAUAUCACGCAGAACUCCGAUUGCGAAGGCAGCAUACCGGCGCUCAACUGACGCUCAUGCACGAAAGCGUGGGUAUCGAACAGGAUUAGAUACCCCAGUAGUC
rnacentral:rRNA from 1 species